UAGUCCACGCCGUAAACGAUGGUCACUAGUUGUUGGGGCGUUUGCCUCAGUGAUUAAGCGAAAGUGAUAAGUGACCCACCUGGGGAGUACGAUCGCAAGAUUGAAACUCAAAGGAAUUGACGGGGGCCCGCACAAGCGGUGGAGCAUGUGGUUUAAUUCGAUGAUACGCGAGGAACCUUACCAGGGCUUAAAUGUAAGUUGCAUAGACCAGAGAUGGUCUUUUCUUCGGACUACUUACAAGGUGCUGCAUGGUUGUCGUCAGCUCGUGUCGUGAGAUGUUGGGUUAAGUCCCGCAACGAGCGCAACCCACAUCUUUAGUUGCCAGCAUUUAGUUGGGCACUCUAAAGAAACUGCCCGUGAUAAGCGGGAGGAAGGUGUGGGAUGACGUCAAGUCCUCAUGGCCCUUACGGGGUUGGGGCUACACACGUGUUACAAUGGGCCGGUACAGAGGGGCAGCCACCUAGUGAUAGGGGCGCGGAAUCCCAAAAACCGGGUCCAAGUUCGGGAUCGGGAGUCU
rnacentral:rRNA from 1 species